rnacentral:lncRNA from 1 species
UCUUUGAUCACCUCAAAGAACCAUCUACACAAAAAUUUUACAGACCCCAUCUCUUAUGUGCACAAGUUUGUAUGCACAGGAGUGUGGAACCAGUGGCAAGUUCUGAGAUCUCACUGCUCUCUCAGUGCCACAGCAGCAGACAGCAGGAGGGACAGUGACAGUCAUCUCCAGGCCCCAAGAGAUUCAGAGCUGCCAGCACCCAUCAUGACCCUAGGAGAAGGUAAAAUCUUGUAACUGGGCUUUUUUUGGUUUUCAGCAAUUCCCUGUGCAGCUCCUGGGGUUCCCAUCUUGGUGUGUGCCAUCUGGGAGCAGCAAGAGCCAUGAGCUUCUGCAGCAUGAGAAAAAUAGCCCUGGGUAGGCUGGGAAAGCACCUGGAAAUAAAACAACAUCAUGCUCAUAGUAAAUAAUUCA